UAUAUUGCAUGCUGGCUCACGACCAUCUACGAGACAGGGCGGGUGCAAAGGUACAUAUUAUUAGCAUGUUCGUUUCUGGCCAGAUAUAAGAAGAUGGAGAAAGAGACAUAGACCCAUCAAAAUAUCGCCGCAUCGUACAUCAUGUUAAUACUUAUGUACAAAAAGAUAUGAGUCAUUGGUAUCUGGCAGUCGUCAAUGCCCAAAAACGUGAGAUUCAAGUAUUGGACUCGCUUGGUUCUCGGAUCAAUCGGAGUGACCUUACUAUUACGCGCAUCUUGUGGACUAUUUAUGCUAAAUUUUAUGGAAUAUUGGACAGCAGAUGUAUUAACAGAUCAGUUCACCCAGG